rnacentral:rRNA from 1 species
CACGGGGGGAGCAAGCGUUGUUCGGAAUCACUGGGCGUAAAGGGCGUGUAGGCGGUUUGGUAAGUGGGAUGUGAAAUGCCUCGGCUCACCCGAGGACCGGCAUCCCAAACUGCCAAGCUUGGGUAUGGGAGAGGAUGUGGGAAUUCCUGGUGUAGCGGUGAAAUGCGUAGAUAUCAGGAGGAACACCGGUGGCGAAGGCGCACAUCUGGCCCAAUACUGACGCUGAGGCGCGAAAGCUAGGGGAGCAAACGGG